GGAAUUUGAUGAGUGGACAUUGGAUUUGUAACUCUCGGAUUCAUUCCCAAGCUUCAUAGAAUUCUUCAGUAUAAUUUUGCUUGAAAGUUUGAAUUCUAUUUCUAAGUUC